rnacentral:rRNA from 1 species
GACGAACGCUGGCGGCGUGCCUAAUACAUGCAAGUAGAACGCAGUUGCGAACGGGUGAGUAACGCGUAGGUAACUGCCUCAGAGCGGGGGAUAACUAUUGGAAACGAUAGCUAAUACCGCAUAAUGUGAGAUGGACCUGCGUUGUAUUAGCUAGUUGGUGAGGUAAAGGCUCACCAAGGCGACGAUACAUAGCCGACCUGAGAGGGUGAUUGGCCACAAUGGGACUGAGACACGGCCCAGACGACUACGGGAGGCAGCAGUAGGGAAUCUGCGGGAAUGGAAGGAAGUCUGACCGAGCAAAGCAGCGUGCAUGAAGAAGGUUUUCGGAUCGUAAAGCUAGGUUGUUAGAGAAGCGGAAACUACCCAGAAAGGGACGGCUAACUACGUGUCAGCAGCCGCGGUAAUAC